rnacentral:rRNA from 1 species
GAUGAACGCUAGCGGCAGGCUUAACACAUGCAAGUCGAGGGGUAUGCUUCUUCGGAAGCAGAGACCGGCGCACGGGUGCGUAACGCGUAUGCAAUCUACCUUUUACAGAGGGAUAGCCCAGAGAAAUUUGGUAUUAAUACCUCAUAGUAUUAUAGAAUGGCAUCAUUUUAUUAAUAAAGUACACAACGGUAAAGAUGAGCAUGCGUCCCAUUAGCUAGUUGGAAGG